GCCCAUCAUCCAGUGGAUUGGGACGUCGGCUUUUCAAGCUGAAAACAGGGGAUUAGAAUCCCCUUGGGGGCA
rnacentral:tRNA from 1 species